CAGCCGCCGCGGUAAUACGAAGGGGGCUAGCGUUAAUCGGAAUUACUGGGCGUAAAGCGUGCGCAGGCGGUUUGUUAAGACAGAUGUGAAAUCCCCGGGCUCAACCUGGGAACUGCAUUUGUGACUGGCAAGCUAGAGUAUGGCAGAGGGGGGUGGAAUUCCGCGUGUAGCAGUGAAAUGCGUAGAUAUGCGGAGGAACACCGAUGGCGAAGGCAGCCCCCUGGGCCAAUACUGACGCUCAUGCACGAAAGCGUGGGGAGCAAACAGGAUUAGAGACCCCCGUAGUCCCUGUCUCUUAUAC
rnacentral:rRNA from 1 species